rnacentral:rRNA from 1 species
UACGUAGGGUGCAAGCGUUAAUCGGAAUUACUGGGCGUAAAGCGUGCGCAGGCGGUUAUGCAAGACAGGUGUGAAAUCCCCGGGCUCAACCUGGGGACUGCAUUUGUGACUGCAUAGCUAGAGUACGGCAGAGGGGGAUGGAAUUCCGCGUGUAGCAGUGAAAUGCGUAGAUAUGCGGAGGAACACCGAUGGCGAAGGCAAUCCCCUGGGCCUGUACUGACGCUCAGGCACGAAAGCGUGGGGAGCAAACAGG